GCAAAAAGUGGGGAGAAAAGAGAAUCUUUGACUUUUUGGUAUGGGUUGUUGGCUUUUUGGCUAAUUUAGUAACUUUUUGGCUAAUUGGCUAAAAUAGCCUCUUGCCAAACGAGGCCUGAUUCUCAUCCUAAAAUGGUGUUUUGGAAUGAGAGUACUGAUUGUUGUUUGUGGGAAGGGGUCACGUGCGACUGGUUGCAUGGUCGUGUGAUUGGACUUGACCUCACCUUUACCUCAAGCUUUACUAAAUCUAUCUUCGUUGACAUCUCUCAGUCUUGUUUAUUGUCAUCUGCAUGGGAAAUUCUCAGAAAACAUUUUUCACCUUCCAAACCUACGAAAGCUCAACUUACGGGUUAAUAUGAAACUCACAGGUAAACUUCCAAACUUCAAUGUGACUAGUUCCCUUCAGUUUCUUGAUCUCUCUUGGACAAGUUUUUCCGGUCAACUACCUGAUUGAAGCAGCAAUCUUAAAGCCUUGAAUAGUUUGUACCUCUCUCAAUGCAAUUUUUCAAGGUCCAUUCCAGCUUCUCUUUGUAACCUUACACAAAUCACUGAUUUAGACUUCUCAUCUAAUAGUUUCAGCAGUCAAAUUCCCUCAUUAAUUUCAAACCUUGCAAAGCUUACUAACUUGAUUCUUUCACUAAACAAUUUGAACGGACAAAUACGGGAUUCCCUUGGCAAUAUGAGCCAACUUACUGACUUGGACAUUUCUGUAAAUUAGCUAAUUGGUCCCAUUCCUCCAUAUGCUGUUGGGGUUUCAAUGCUAACUUCUCUCCAAUUGAGUCGUAACUCACUCAUUGGGACAAUACCAUCUUCGCUGCUUGCUCUACCUUCACUGAUUAAUAUAGAUUUGAGUGACAAUAAGCUACAGGGACCAAUUCCAAGAUCAGUUUAUGAACUCCAGAAUCUAACAGACUUGGUGCUUUCAUCAAAUAACUUAAGUGGUGUAGUGGAUCUAGAUAAGCUUCUAAAGCUUAAAAAUCUAAUCUCUCUUGAUCUCUCAUAUAAUGGUCCCUCAUUGAGCAUCAACAACAGUGUUAACUCUACCUUGAUCAACUUUGACACUAUAGGAUUAGCUUCUUGCAACUUGAGCGAAUUCCCAAACUUUUUCAGAGAGCAAGCUGGAUUGGCUUCUCUAGACCUUUCAAAAAACAAAAUUCAUGGUGAAGUUCCCAAAUGGAUAUUUGAUGUGGGGGAAAAUACAUUGGGUAUUUUAGAUCUUUCUCAUAAUUUCCUUACAAGUUUAGAGUCUUCCAUGGCAGCCGCUAGAAUAUAUUGACCUGCACUCCAACUUACUCAGAGGCCCACUCCCUGUUCCACCUAUCACCACAAUUCUUUUCUCUCUCAAACAAUAAAUUGACUGGAGAAAUCCCUCCAUUGAUUUGUGGUCUAAGGUCACUUGGUAUUCUUGAUUUGUCUAAGAACAGUUUGAGUGGCUUGAUUCCACAAUGUUCGGGAAACUUGAGCAAUCUCUUCGUGUUGAAUUUAGGGAUCAAUGGCUUUUACGGUACCUUUAUUGCAGCAUUUACAAAAGGCAAUUGGCUAAGGAAUCUUAACUUGAAUGGCAACCAAAUUGAAGGACAAGUUCCGCUAUCUUUACUCAAUUGUAGACACUUGGAAGUUCUAAACCUUGGAAAAAACAAGACAAAUGAUACAUUUCCACACUAGUUGAAAACUCUUCUAGAAUUGCACGUUCUUGUCUUGAGUUUUAAUAGGUUUCAUUGUCGCAUAGGCACCUCCAAGACCAAAGGCAAGCAUCGUCUUCCUAAGUUGAGAAUUAUUGACAUAUCUUGCAAUGAGUUCACUAGCCUUUUGCCAGCAAAUUAUAUCAAACAAUUUGGAGCUAUGAUGAAUGUUGAUAAACAUGAAAUAAAAUUGAAAUACAUGGGCAACGACUAUUAUGAAGAUUCUGUGGUGGUGGUGAUUAAGGGAUCUGAGAUUGAAUUAUCAAGAAUCUUAACAAUCUUGUCAAUCAUUGAUUUUUCAAUAAAUAAAUUCUGAGGAGAGAUUCUGAAAUCCAUUGGGAGGCUUAAUUCACUUUGGGGUCUUAACUUAUCCCAUAACAACCUUGAAGGCCACAUUCCAACUUCACUUGGAAAUUUAACAAACGUUGAAUCAUUGGACCUUUCUUCAAACGAGCUUGUUGGGGUGAUUUCUCAACAAUUGACGAGUUUGAUGUUUCUUGAGAUACUAAACCUUUAGGACAACCAACUUGCAAGACCAAUUCCUCAAGGGAACCAGUUUAAUACAUUUGGAAGGUGAUUCAUACAGUGGGAACUUGGCCUUACGUGGAUUCCUUUUAUCGAAGAAAUGUAAGGAACUACAGCCACUGUCACCUCCACCAACACUCCAACAAGACGAGAAUUCAGACAAGUCAAGUGGAUUUAGCUGGCAAGUUGUAGUGUUGUGGUAUGGAUGCGGAUUUGUAUUUGGAAUGGUUAUGGGAUAUAUUAUGUUUGUAACUCAAAGACCAGAAUGGCUUAUGAAAAUUGUUGAUGGAAAACAUCAUACGAAUGUGAAAAGGUCUAAGAAGGGUGCCCACUGAUGCAGUGAAAGAAGAAAUCAACAAAGACAAAUGGCAUUAUCAGAACUAGAUAUUUUUCUUAGUUGCACAAUAAAGAAAUGGAAUCCAGUUGAAGGGGUGUCUCACCAAUUUGCUGCAUUUGAGUGUAUGUGCAUUCAGAUAGCAGCUACACAAGAUCACUUCAAAAGCUUUACCAUUGCUGCUUUAUUAAAUUCUAAAGUUAAGUUGUGUAGUUUUCUUAAAGCGUUGAGUUAAAUAAGAGUUUCAUGUCAUGAAUUUUUUUUCUUUUUUUUUUCUCGCAUCAUGUAACAACCUUUGGAGAUUUUCACUUUUGUAUGUAGUUGCUUUUAAAUUGGAUUUCAGUCACAAAAGACUAGGCAUUGCCAAGUUUUUAUCUUUGAAAUGCAAUCUUACAAGUUACAACCAUUCCCCUUGUUACAUUCUAAAUCAUUUUGAGUAAUAGAAAUGUUGGCUACUAGAUAGAGAAUUCGCAUAGAAAAUAAUGUUAUAUGUUAGUUUGAGCAGUGCUUUUACUCGUCGCUAUUGUAGUCCAGCAGAGCUUUUGUUCUCUUUCACAUCUUUCUAUCAACAGACAGAAUUGAUGAUAAUUAUUAUUAUUAUUUUUCAUCUUCAUUGGCGAUUGGAGAAUCAAACUAGAGAUAUGUACUAGCAUUUGUUCUAUAGACGUGGGAAUUUUGUUAUUAAUUGUAGUAUGAAAAUGGUAUUAAUUGAAAAGGUCGCUUAUAGGCAAGAAUGUUGUUGGGAUUGUGAAGUCUGAUUAAUUAGUACUAUACAUUUCAUUACACAAUCAUGGAUCCAACUGAUGUGACCAUGUGAUUUUAAUGCAUUGUUUUAUUUUCUCUUUCCUUUUUUUCUUUUUUCUUUCUUUCUUUCUAGUUUAUAGCUAAAAAUGAUGGUUUGGUGUACUGAAAUUGUUAUUGUGUUCUAAGAAGUUAAUUUUUUUUUUUUAAUUUUAGAAAGUUUUAAUUCUGUCUUUAUAUAUUGUUGAUGUUUCUCUGCCAAUUCUCUCAAAUACUAUGGAGUAUUGAUGAGUCCAGAUCCUCUGCCAUGGUUUCUUGCCAUGGUCCCUGCCGUGAUGCCAAAAUGUCGUUUUGGCGUUAAAUUCAAAAAAAAAAAUUUCCUCUGUUUUCCCUUUCUCCCUCAAUUGUUGAUACAGCCCUAAACCUUAAGAGAGAGGCGAACUUGAAUGGCUCCUUUGACGCAGAGGAGGGUAGGUGACGACAGUUGCGCUAGGCGAGGUGAGGCGACAGUUAGGUCUCUCCUCUUCCAUCUUCAUUCUCAUGUGGUGCUUAAAUAUGUAUGUAUAUAUAUAUAUAUAUGAUUUUUAUGUAUAUAUAUAUGAUUUCUGGAUUUGAAUUUCUUGUUGAUUUUGUAAAUGGGUUUGAUUUCUAGGGGUUUUUUCCCCCUCUUUUCCCCUUUACGAUUUCUCCUUCCAAAAAAUAGGAAUCCAAAAAUCAAAUUAUAUGUAUGAUUUUUCAUUUGAGCAUAUCAAUUUUUGAUUCUCCAAAUCACUUUGUAUCUAUAAAAAAAAAUUUGAGAUUUCUCCCAUUACAUUGUUUGAACAAGAGGGACCUACAUGGGAUUUGUUAAAGCAAAUAUAAUAUGGUUUUUCCUAUAAUAUUUUCAUAUAUGAUUUGUAAUUUUCUGAGUUCCUAGUUUCACUGUGACUGUACUUCUGUUUUUGCUCAUACAAUGACCAAGGUAAUCUGUGAUUAUUAAUUUGUAGAUUUUGUGAUUGAACGACAACAAUUGGUUGUGGUUGGGCAUGAUGUCUCAAGUUAGGACCUGUUGAAAAGAUUUGCUAAACUUUGAAGUAAUUUGAUAUCUUACUUUGAUGACUUGGAAGGACAUAAUUUUUUUGUGAAGAUGAUAAUACAGUAUGUGUUUAAUUAGGAUUGAAUUGACAUUCUUUUUUGGUGUGCCAUACAAUCUAUGUUUUUGCUGGUAAUGGAAUAAAACAAUUGUAAUUACCUAAAAAAAAAGGG